rnacentral:misc_RNA from 1 species
AGCAGCCGCGGUAAUUCCAGCUCCAAUAGCGUAUAUUAAAGUUGUUGCAGUUAAAAAGCUCGUAGUUGAAUUUCGGGAUCAAUGCGUCGGUCGUGCUUUCGGGUACGUACUGGUGUCAUUGGUUUCUCCUUUCUGACGAGCCGUGAUGUCAUUAAUUUGGUGUUACGGGUAGUUAGGACUGUUACUUUGAAAAAAUUAGAGUGUUUAAAGCAGGCAUUAGCUUGAAUACAUUAGCAUGGAAUAAUGAAAUAGGACGUUCGAUCCUAUUUUGUUGGUUUCUAGGAUCAACGUAAUGAUUAAUAGGGAUAGUUGGGGGCAUUAGUAUUCAAUUGUCGGAGGUGAAAUUCUUGGAUUUAUUGAAGACUAACUACUGCGAAAGCAUUUGCCAAGGAUGUUUUCAUUAAUCAAGAACGAAAGUUAGGGGAUCGAAGACGAUCAGAUACCGUCGUAGUCUUAACCAUAAACUAUGCCGACUAGGGAUCGGAUGAUGUUAAUUUUUUCAAUGACUCAUUCGGCGCCU